rnacentral:rRNA from 1 species
UUAGCGGCGGACGGGUGAGUAACACGUGGGUAACCUGCCUGUAAGACUGGGAUAACUCCGGGAAACCGGAGCUAAUACCGGAUAGUUCCUUGAACCGCAUGGUUCAAGGAUGAAAGACGGUUUCGGCUGUCACUUACAGAUGGACCCGCGGCGCAUUAGCUAGUUGGUGGGGUAAUGGCUCACCAAGGCGACGAUGCGUAGCCGACCUGAGAGGGUGAUCGGCCACACUGGGACUGAGACACGGCCCAGACUCCUACGGGAGGCAGCAGUAGGGAAUCUUCCGCAAUGGACGAAAGUCUGACGGAGCAACGCCGCGUGAGUGAUGAAGGUUUUCGGAUCGUAAAGCUCUGUUGUUAGGGAAGAACAAGUGCGAGAGUAACUGCUCGCACCUUGACGGUACCUAACCAGAAAGCCACGGCUA